rnacentral:rRNA from 1 species
GUGUUUCGCUGACGAGUGGCGGACGGGUGGGUACUGUCGGGGGCACGUGGGUGAGUGGGGGGGAUAACUACUGGAAACGGUGAGCUAAUACCGCAUAACGUCGCAAGACCAAAGAGGGGGACCUUCGGGCCUCUUGCCAUCGGAUGUGCCCAGAUGGGAUUAGCUAGUAGGUGGGGUAACGGCUCACCUAGGCGACGAUCCCUAGCUGGUCUGAGAGGAUGACCAGCCACACUGGAACUGAGACACGGUCCAGACUCCUACGGGAGGCAGCAGUGGGGAAUAUUGCACAAUGGGCGCAAGCCUGAUGCAGCCAUGCCGCGUGUAUGAAGAAGGCCUUCGGGUUGUAAAGUACUUUCAGCGGGGAGGAAGGGAGUAAAGUUAAUACCUUUGCUCAUUGACGUUACCCGCAGAAGAAGCACCGGCUAACUCCGUGCCAGCAGCCGCGGUAAUACGGAGGGUGCAAGCGUUAAUCGGAAUUACUGGGCGUAAAGCGCACGCAGGCGGUUUGUUAAGUCAGAUGUGAAAUCCCCGGGCUCAACCUGGGAACUGCAUCUGAUACUGGCAAGCUUGAGUCUCGUAGAGGGGGGUAGAAUUCCAGGUGUAGCGGUGAAAUGCGUAGAGAUCUGGAGGAAUACCGGUGGCGAAGGCGGCCCCCUGGACGAAGACUGACGCUCAGGUGCGAAAGCGUGGGGAGCAAACAGGAUUAGA